rnacentral:rRNA from 1 species
CAAUAGCGUAUAUUAAAGUUGUUGCAGUUAGAAAGCUCGUAGUUGGAUUUCGGGGCAGCCUGGCUGGUCCGCCGCAAGGCGAGUACUGGUCAGCCGCCCUUCCUCUCGAAAGCCCCGACUGCUCUUUAUUGCAGUGGUCGGGUAGUUCGGGACGUUUACUUUGAAAAAAUUAGAGUGUUCAAGGCAGGCCUACGCCUGAAUACAUUAGCAUGGAAUAAUGGAAGAGGACCUCGGUCCUAUUUUGUUGGUUUCCAGGACCGAAGUAAUGAUUAAGAGGGACAGUUGGGGGCAUUCGUAUUUAAUUGUCAGAGGUGAAAUUCUCGGAUUUAUGAAAGACGAACAACUGCGAAAGCAUUUGCCAAGGAUGUUUUCAUUAA